AUACGAAGGGGGCUAGCGUUGUUCGGAAUUACUGGGCGUAAAGCGUACGUAGGCGGAUCGAUCAGUCAGAGGUGAAAUCCCAGGGCUCAACCCUGGAACUGCCUUUGAUACUAUCGAUCUAGAAUCCAGAAGAGGUGAGUGGAAUUCCGAGUGUAGAGGUGAAAUUCGUAGAUAUUCGGAGGAACACCAGUGGCGAAGGCGGCUCACUGGUCUGGUAUUGACGCUGAGGUACGAAAGCGUGGGGAGCAAACAGGAUUAGAUACCCUAGUAGUCC
rnacentral:rRNA from 1 species